GCCUUCGUGGUGUAGUGGUCAGUACACUCAGCGCGUAUUCGAGCAGUCCGCGGUUCGAGUCCCGGCGAGGACA
rnacentral:tRNA from 1 species